UGCCGGAGGCCAUUGCUAUCGGAGUCCGAUUUAGCCAUGCUAGUCGCACGAGUUCAGACUCGUGGCAUAUAGCUCAGUAACACGUGGCCAAACUACCCUACAGACCGCAAUAACCUCGGGAAACUGAGGCCAAUAGCGGAUAUAACUCUCAUGCUGGAGUGCAGAGAGUUAGAAACGUUCCGGCGCUGUAGGAUGUGGCUGCGGCCGAUUAGGUAGAUGGUGGGGUAACGGCCCACCAUGCCGAUAAUCGGUACAGGUUGUGAGAGCAAGAGCCUGGAGACGGUAUCUGAGACAAGAUACCGGGCCCUACGGGGCGCAGCAGGCGCGAAACCUUUACACUGCACGACAGUGCGAUAGGGGGACUCCGAGUGUGAGGGCAUAUAGCCCUCGCUUUUCUGUACCGUAAAGGUGGUACAAGAAUAAGGACUGGGCAAGAAAAGGUUUCAACCGCCGCGGUAAUACCGGCAGUCCAAGUGAUGGCCGAUAUUAUUGGGCCUAAAGCGUCCGUAGCUUGCUGUGUAAGUCCAUUGGGAAAUCGACCAGCUCAACUGGUCGACGUCCGGUGGAAACUACACAGCUUGGGGCCGAGAGACUCAACGGGUACGUCCGGGGUAGGAGUGAAAUCCUAUAAUCCUGGACGGACCACCAAUGGGGAAACCACGUUGAGAGACCGGACCCGACAGAUGAGGGACGAAAGCCAGGGUCUCGAACCGGAUUAGAUACCCGGGUAGUCCUGGCCUGUAAACAAUG
rnacentral:rRNA from 1 species